rnacentral:tRNA from 2 species
UGAAGUAUGGCCAAGUGGUAAGGCAUCCGUUUUUGGUACGGAAAAUCAAAGGUU